rnacentral:rRNA from 1 species
AUUGAACGCUGGCGGCAGGCUUAACACAUGCAAGUCGUACGGUAACAGAGGGAAGCUUGCUUCUCUGCUGACGAGUGGCGGACGGGUGAGUAAUGUCUGGGAAGCUGCCUGCUUGAGGGGGAUAGCGGAGCGAAAGUUCCGAUAAUACCGCGUAAGCCCGAGAGGGGAAAGUGCGGGACCGCAAGGCCGCACGCGAGCAGAUGCGCCCAGAUGGGAUUAGGCAGUUGGGGAGGUAAUGGCUCACCAAACCGAUGAUCUCUAGCUGGUUUGAGAGGACAAUCAGCCACAUUGGAAUUGAGAAACGGACCAAACUCC